UACGGGGGGGGCAAGCGUUGUUCGGAAUUACUGGGCGUAAAGCGCGCGUAGGCGGACCUGCAAGUCGGGGGUGAAGGCCCGAGGCUCAACCUCGGAACUGCCUUCGAUACUGCGGGUCUCGAGUCCGGGAGAGGUGAGUGGAAUUCCUAGUGUAGAGGUGAAAUUCGUAGAUAUUAGGAAGAACACCAGUGGCGAAGGCGGCUCACUGGCCCGGUACUGACGCUGAGGCGCGAAAGCGUGGGGAGCAAACAGG
rnacentral:rRNA from 1 species